rnacentral:rRNA from 1 species
UACAGAGGUGCCGAGCGUUAGGCGGAAUCACUGGGCUUAAAGCGUGUGUAGGCGGAUUUUUAAGUACCUUGUGAAAUCCCAUGGCUUAACCAUGGAACUGCUGGGUAUACUGGAUAUCUUGAGCCAACUAGGGGCUACCGGAACAAAUGGUGGAGCGGUGAAAUGCGUAGAUAUCAUUUGGAACGCCAAUGGUGAAAACAGGUAGCUGGGAGUGUGCUGACGCUGAGACACGAAAGCCAGGGGAGCGAACGGG